rnacentral:siRNA from 1 species
UGGUGUCUAUUCUUGUUGAUA